rnacentral:rRNA from 1 species
CCUACGGGAGGCUGCAGUGGGGAAUAUUGGGCAAUGGGCGCACGCCUGACCCAGCAACGCCGCGUGAAGGAAGAAGGCUUUCGGGUUGUAAACUUCUUUUGUCAGGGAAGAGUAGAAGACGGUACCUUACGAAUAAGCCACGGCUAACUACGUGCCAGCAGCCGCGGUACUACGUAGGUGGCACGCGUUGUCCGGAUUUACUGGGUGUAAAGGGCGUGUAGGCGGGUUGACAAGUCAGAUGUGAAAUCCUGAGGCUUAACCGCAGAACUGCAUUUGAAACUGUUGAUCUUGAGUACUGGAGGGGCAGACGGAAUUCCUAGUGUAGCGGUGAAAUGCGUAGAUAUUAGGAGGAACACCAGUGGCGAAGGCGGUCUGCUGGACAGCAACUGACGGUGAGGCGCGAAAGCGUGGGGAGCAAACAGGAUUAGAUACCCCUGUAGUC